rnacentral:rRNA from 1 species
CUACUGGGGUAUCUAAUCCUGUUUGCUCCCCACGCUUUCGUGCCUCAGUGUCAGUGCUGGCCCAGAUAGCCGCCUUCGCCACGGAUGUUCCUCCUGAUCUCUACGCAUUUCACUGCUACACCAGGAAUUCCGCUAUCCUCUACCGCACUCUAGCCUGCCAGUAUCAAAUGCAGUUCCCAGGUUGAGCCCAGGGCUUUCACAUCUGACUUAACAAACCACCUACGCACGCUUUACGCCCAGUAAUUCCGAGUAACGCUUGCACCCUUCGUAUUACCGCGGCUGCUGGCAC